GCGUGUUCCAGGAGCAGGCGCUGGGCGGGUGCACCCGGGAGGGUCCCCUGGGGCGGGUCUGGCCGCGGGGCAGGGAAGGUUCUGCUGUCAGUCUGUCCUUCGUUCUAUCUGCUCUUCCUGCGACUCGGGACCAGUUACGGAUCGAUACCGCCUGCCGUAAAGGAUGACCCCAAAGCGCCGUCAGGACCAGCUUUCGGUCUGUCGCGGAGACUAGACACACUCCAUUCCAGCUCCACGGGAGACGCGGCCUGUAGGGUGAAGGGCCCCUGGUCACCUGGGGUCAGAGAGGAAUGAGAGAUGAGAGGCAUGUUCUCUGCCAGCCCUCCCGCGAAAUGAAAGGGCCGGAGAC